UGCUGCAUGGAGAAGCAGAGGACUGGACGACUGGACGACUGAGCUUGUGUCCCCCGGAGUCACUGCUGGCUGGAUCUCCUGUGCCCUGCUGGAGCCGAUUCCCAGACUGCGAGGUCAACGCUCGCAUACCCCUAACGGAAGGUGCCCGAUCCAACAGCUGACGGCAGAGUCGCAGAGCAUUGAGAAGCGUAUUGAAGGUGCAGAGUGGCACCCUGGAAACCCUGGUCCCGGACUUCUUCAUGUGGAACCGACUUAUUGAAGCACUGUGAGAGUUUUACUUCUCCAGAGUCGCUGGCUCCCUGAAGGGGUCCCGUCCCUAGAGUUGCACUCUGGACAAUGUCAACGAAGGUAGCUCCAUUCUGAGGAACGUGAAGUUAGCGAAACCAGGGGGGCCGCCCGCCCGCGCCACUGCAGCCAGUCCCCACGCCGCGAAGGAGGACCAAGCAUCUGGC